rnacentral:rRNA from 1 species
GAUGAACGCUAGCGGCAGGCCUAACACAUGCAAGUCGAGGGGCAGCACGAGAGCUUGCUCUUGGUGGCGACCGGCGCACGGGUGCGUAACGCGUAUACAACUUACCCUAUACAGGGGGAUAGCCCGGGGAAACUCGGAUUAAUACCCCAUAACAUUGCGAAUUCGCAUGUUUUUGCAAUUAAAACUUCGGUGGUAUAGGAUGGGUAUGCGUAAGAUUAGAUAGUUGGUGAGGUAACGGCUCACCAAGUCUACGAUCUUUAGGGGGCCUGAGAGGGUGAUCCCCCACACUGGUACUGAGACACGGACCAGACUCCUACGGGAGGCAGCAGUGAGGAAUAUUGCGCAAUGGAGGCAACUCUGACGCAGCCAUGCCGCGUGCAGGAAGACGGCCUUAUGGGUUGUAAACUGCUUUUAUUUGGGAAUAAACCCCCCUACGUGUAGGGGGCUGAAGGUACCAAACGAAUAAGCACCGGCUAACUCCGUGCCAGCCGCCGCCGUAACAC